rnacentral:rRNA from 1 species
GAUGAACGCUGACAGAAUGCUUAACACAUGCAAGUCAACUUGAACUUCGGUUUGGGUGGCGGACGGGUGAGUAACGCGUAAAGAACUUGCCUCACAGAUAGGGACAACAUUUGGAAACGAAUGCUAAUACCUGAUAUUAUGAUUUUAGGGCAUCCUAGGAUUAUGAAAGCUAUAUGCGCUGUGAGAGAGCUUUGCGUCCCAUUAGCUAGUUGGAGAGGUAACGGCUCACCAAGGCGAUGAUGGGUAGCCGGCCUGAGAGGGUGAUCGGCCACAAGGGGACGGAGACACGGCCCUUACUCCUACGGGAGGCAGCAGUGGGGAAUAUUGGACAAUGGACCAAGAGUCUGAUCCAGCAAUUCUGUGUGCACGAUGAAGCUUUUCGGAAUGUAAAGUGCUUUCAGUUGGGAAGAAAAAAAUGACGGUACCAACAGAAGAAGUGACGGCUAAAUACGUG